UACGUAGGGUGCGAGCGUUAAUCGGAAUUACUGGGCGUAAAGCGUGCGCAGGCGGUUUUGUAAGACAGAGGUGAAAUCCCCGGGCUCAACCUGGGAACUGCCUUUGUGACUGCAUGGCUAGAGUACGGUAGAGGGGGAUGGAAUUCCGCGUGUAGCAGUGAAAUGCGUAGAUAUGCGGAGGAACACCGAUGGCGAAGGCAAUCCCCUGGACCUGUACUGACGCUCAUGCACGAAAGCGUGGGGAGCAAACAGG
rnacentral:rRNA from 1 species